rnacentral:tRNA from 1 species
GGAGUUGUGGCUUAAUGGUAGAGUGCUCACCUAGCAAGUGUGAGGCCCUGGGUUUGAUACUCAGCACCA